CUGCCCAUUGUGAAAUGUAUCAUAUCUAAGUCUAGUCUUUUAAUGAUUUUUAUUUUUUCCAUUAUAGAUGAUUUAUAGUGUUCUGUCAAUUUCUACUGUACAGCAAAGAGACCCAGUCAUAUAUACACACACACAUAUUCUUUAUCUCACAUUUUCCUCUAUCAUGUUCCAUCAUAAGUGACUAGAUAUAGUUCCCUAUGCUAUACAGCAGGAUCUCAUUACAUAUCCAUUCCAAAGGCAGUAGUUUGCAUCUAUUAACCCCAGAUUCCCAGUCCAUCCCACGCCCUUCUCCUCCCACUUGGCAAACACAAGUCUAUUCUCCAAGUCCAUGAUUUUCUUUUCUGUGGAAAGGUUCAUUUGUGCCAUAUAUUAGAUUACAGAUAUAAGUGAUGUUACGUGGUAUUUGUCUUUCUGACUUACUUCACUUAGUAUGAGAAUUUCUAGUUCCAUCCAUGUUGCUGCAAAUGGCAUUAUUUUUCUUUUUAUGGGUGAGUAGUAUUCCAUUGUGUAUAUAUACCAUCUCUUCUUAACCCAUUCAUCUGUAGAUGGAUAUUUAGGUUGUCUCCAUGUCUUCGCUAUUUGUGAAUAGGGCUGCAGUGAACAUACGGGUGCAUGUGCCUUUUUUAAGUAGAGUUUUGUCUGGAUAUUUGCCCAAGAGUGGAAUUACUUUCUCUUCAUAUAUUAGUUUUUGUAUUUGUUUUUAUUUUUGCCACUUGGCAACUCUUGCACUGUAUUUAGUGUUUGUUCGAUGUAGCUUUAACUGCUAGAGCCUUCAAACUCCUGUAGGUUUUUUUUUGUUGUUGUUGUUGUUGUGGUUUAACUGGGGGCCAGACUUUCCUCUCUUGGAUUUGGAAUUAUCUAAGUAUUCCUUCUCAGUGAUAGAUAGCCUGUGUCCUGCAGCUCUUUCAUCAGUAAACCACUGUUAUCACUGGCACCUCACCAGUGUGGUGGUGCAGUGAGGAAGGAGUGAGAACAUUUUAUAAUAUUCUAAUUAAGUUUUAGCCUUUAGACAACCUGUUUUCUGGGCUGUUACCUUUACAAGUCUUUUUCUAGAAGUAUGGCUUCUCGCCCCCUCAUCCUCUACUCCUUUCUUUGGCUAUAGCAUUCUAUUUUUUUUUUAAUAAUUUUUUUUAUUUUCCCACUGUACAGCAAGGGGGUCAGGUUAUCCUUACAUGUAUACAUUGCAAUUACAGUUUUUUCCCCCACCCUUUCUUCUGUUGCGACAUGAGUAUCUAGACAUAGUUCUCAAUGCUAUUCAGCAGGAUCUCCUUAUAAAUCUAUUCUAGGUUGUGUCUGAUAAGCCCAAGCUCCCGAUCCCUCCCACUCCCUCCCCCUCCCAUCAGGCAACCACAAGUCUCUUCUCCAAGUCCAUGAUUUUCUUUUCUGAGGAGAUGUUCAUUUGUGCUGGAUAUUAGAUUCCAGUUAUAAGUGAUAUCAUACUAAAUCUAUAUCUUUGACACACUGGCCCCUGUUCAUUGUGUGUCUUUGUGGAUGUGUUUCCCAUCUUAGGUAAGGUAGGAAGACUAGAAGAGUCUCCUAAGGCAGGAGGGAUUUCCUGCACUCAGAUAGGAUGAUACACUGGGAAAAAGACGCCUUCUGGGGAGUUCCCACUGUGGUGCAGUGGAAACAAACUCAACCAGUGUCCGUGAGAAUGUGGGUUCGAUCCCCUACCUUACUCAGUGGGUUAAGGAUUCAGGCAUUGCUGUUAGCUCUGCUAUAUGUUGCAGACACAGCUUGGAUCUGGCAUGGCUGUGGCUGUGGCCAGAGGCUAUAGCUCCAAUUCAGUCCCUAGACUGGAAACUUGCAUAUGCUGUGGGUUUGGGCCUAAAACAAACCACCAACCAAAAAACAAAAACAAAAAACAAAAAAAA
rnacentral:lncRNA from 1 species